UUUAAAUUUAAAAAAUUAAAAUUAUUUUAAUGGGGGUUAAAGUAUUUUAAUAGAAAUAAUUUAAAAGUUUAUAGUGAAUUAGUAUUGUGAAAGAAUUUUGAAAUAAUUUAAAUAAAAAUUUAUUUAAAAGUAAUUUUUAUUUAGUGUAUCUUGUGUAUCAGAGUUUAUUAAAAAAUAUUUUUGGAUUUAAUAAUUCUCGAAUUUAAGAGAGAUAAUUAAUUAAAAAAGUUAUUGUGGCAUAAAUAUUUUUAAUAAUUAAUUGGAAAUGAAAUGUUAAUCGUUCUUAAAUAUAUCUAGUUUUUUUAGAAAAAAAUUUAAUUUUAAAUUUAUUUUAUUUUAUUAAUUAAUUAAUUAAUUAAUAAAUAUUUAAAUUUUAUAAUUUAAGGGAUAAUCUUUAAAUUAAAUAAAUAUAAUAGGUAUUAUUUUAAAUUAUUUGAAAAUUAUAUAAUUUAUAUUGUUAAUAAAUUUUAAUUUAUUAUAAAUAAUUUCAUUAAAAAUAAAAUUUAAUUAAAAAUUUAUUUUUUUUAUAAAAAAUUAAUUUUAAAUAUUUUAAAAUUAGUUAUAAUGAUAAAAUUAGUAUAUAGUUAGUUUUAAAUAGAUUUAUUUAUUAAAAUUAAAUUAAUUAAAAGGAAUUCGGCAAAUAUAUAUAUUCACUUGUUUAUCAAAAACAUGUCUUUUUGUAAAUAAUAUAAAGUCUAAUCUGCCCACUGAUUUUAUAAUUAAAGGGCUGCAGUAUAUUGACUGUACAAAGGUAGCAUAAUCAUUAGUCAUUUAAUUGGUGACUUGUAUGAAAGAUUGGAUGAAAUAUAAUCUGUCUCUUAAUUAAAUUAUAGAAUUUAAUUUUUUAAUUAAAAAGUUAAAAUGAAUUAAAAAGACGAGAAGACCCUAUAGAGUUUUAUAGUUAAAUAAAUUAAAAUUAUUUAUAAAUAAAAUUAAAUUUUAAUUUAUUUAAUUAUUUUGUUGGGGUGAUAGAAAAAUAAAAAUAACUUUUUUUAAAAUAUGAACAUAAAUAAGUGAAAAAGUGAUCCAAUUUUAUUGAUUAUAAGAAAAAAUUACCUUAGGGAUAACAGCGUAAUUUUUUUUUUUAGUUCAAAUAAAAAAAAGAGUUUGCGACCUCGAUGUUGGAUUAAGAUAAAAUUUAAAUGCAGAAGUUUAAAAUUUUGAUCUGUUCGAUCAUUAAAAUCUUACAUGAUCUGAGUUCAAACCGGUGUGAGCCCAGGUUGGUAUCUAUCUUUUAAAAGGAAAUAUUUUAGUACGAAAGGAUUAAAUAUUUAAAUUAAAUUUUUUUUUAUUCGAAUUUUAUUAAUU
rnacentral:rRNA from 1 species